rnacentral:rRNA from 1 species
GACGAACGCUGGCGGCGUGCUUAACACAUGCAAGUCGAACGAAGUGGCGAACGGGUGAGUAACGCGUAAUCAACUUGCCCUUCAGAGGGGGACAACAGUUGGAAACGACUGCUCAUACCGCAUACUGAAGGAGGGGACUGCGUUUGAUGAGCGAGUUGGGGGGGUAACGGCCCACCAAGGCGAAGAUCAGUAGCCGGUCUGAGGGGAUGAACGGCCACAUUGGGACUGAGACACGGCCCAGACUCCUACGGGGGGCAGCCGGGGGGAAUCUUCCGCAAUGGAGGGAAUGCUGACGGAGCAACGCCGCGUGAGUGAUGACGGCCUUCGGGUUGUAAAGCUCUGUUAAUCGGGACGCGGUACCGGAAUAGAAAGCCACGGCUAACUACGUGCCAGCAGCCGCGGUAAUUC